rnacentral:rRNA from 1 species
GACGAACGCUGGCGGCGUGCUUAACACAUGCAAGUCGAACGGAAAGGCCCUGCUUUUGUGGGGUGCUCGAGUGGCGAACGGGUGAGUAACACGUGAGUAACCUGCCCUUGACUUUGGGAUAACUUCAGGAAACUGGGGCUAAUACCGGAUAGGAGCUCCUGCUGCAUGGUGGGGGUUGGAAAGUUUCGGCGGUUGGGGAUGGACUCGCGGCUUAUCAGCUUGUUGGUGGGGUAGUGGCUUACCAAGGCUUUGACGGGUAGCCGGCCUGAGAGGGUGACCGGCCACAUUGGGACUGAGAUACGGCCCAGACUCCUACGGGAGGCAGCAGUGGGGAAUAUUGCACAAUGGGCGGAAGCCUGAUGCAGCAACGCCGCGUGCGGGAUGACGGCCUUCGGGUUGUAAACCGCUUUCGCCUGUGACGAAGCGUGAGUGACGGUAAUGGGUAAAGAAGCACCGGCUAACUACGUGCCAGCAGCCGCGGUGAUACGUAGGGUGCGAGCGUUGUCCGGAUUUAUUGGGCGUAAAGGGCUCGUAGGUGGUUGAUCGCGUCGGAAGUGUAAUCUUGGGGCUUAACCCUGAGCGUGCUUUCGAUACGGGUUGACUUGAGGAAGGUAGGGGAGAAUGGAAUUCCUGGUGGAGCGGUGGAAUGCGCAGAUAUCAGGAGGAACACCAGUGGCGAAGGCGGUUCUCUGGGCCUUUCCUGACGCUGAGGAGCGAAAGCGUGGGGAGCGAACAGGCUUAGAUACCCUGGUAGUCCACGCUGUAAACGGUGGGUACUAGGUGUGGGGUCCAUUCCACGGGUUCCGUGCCGUAGCUAACGCUUUAAGUACCCCGCCUGGGGAGUACGGCCGCAAGGCUAAAACUCAAAGGAAUUGACGGGGCCCCGCACAAGCGGCGGAGCAUGCGGAUUAAUUCGAUGCAACGCGUAGAACCUUACCUGGGUUUGACAUGGAUCGGGAGCGCUCAGAGAUGGGUGUGCCUCUUUUGGGGUCGGUUCACAGGUGGUGCAUGGCUGUCGUCAGCUCGUGCCGUGAGAUGUUGGGUUAAGUCCCGCAACGAGCGCAACCCUUGUUCACUGUUGCCAGCACGUUAUGGUGGGGACUCAGUGGAGACCGCCGGGGUCAACUCGGAGGAAGGUGGGGAUGACGUCAAGUCAUCAUGCCCCUUAUGUCCAGGGCUUCACGCAUGCUACAAUGGCUGGUACAGAGAGUGGCGAGCCUGUGAGGGUGAGUGAAUCUCGGAAAGCCGGUCUCAGUUCGGAUUGGGGUCUGCAACUCGACCUCAUGAAGUCGGAGUCGCUAGUAAUCGCAGAUCAGCAACGCUGCGGUGAAUACGUUCCCGGG